rnacentral:rRNA from 1 species
CCUACGGGGGGCAGCAGUGAGGAAUAUUGGUCAAUGGGCGGAAGCCUGAACCAGCCAAGUAGCGUGCAGGAUGAAGGCCCUACGGGUCGUAAACUGCUUUUGCACGGGGAUAAAACCCCCUACGUGUAGAGGUUUGCAGGUACCGUACGAAUAAGGACCGGCUAAUUCCGUGCCAGCAGCCGCGGUAAUACGGAGGGCCCGAGCGUUAUCCGGAUUUAUUGGGUUUAAAGGGAGCGUAGGCGGUCGUUAAAGUUAGCUGUAAAAUCGCGGGGCUCAACCCCGCCCCGCAGUUGAAACUGGCGGGCUUGAGUUCACAGCAGGCAGGCGGAAUGCGUGGUGUAGCGGUGAAAUGCAUAGAUAUCACGCAGAACACCGAUUGCGAAGGCAGCUUACCGGAGCGCAACUGACGUUGAUGCACGAAAGCGUGGGUAUCGAACAGGAUUAGAUACCCGUGUAGUC